UACAGAGGUCUCAAGCGUUGUUCGGAUUCAUUGGGCGUAAAGGGCGUGUAGGCGGUUUGUUAAGUCAUGUGUGAAAUCCCUCGGCUCAACCGGGGAACGACGCAUGAAACUGGCAAGCUAGAGUCCGGAAGAGGAGAGUGGAAUUCCUGGUGUAGCGGUGAAAUGCGCAGAUAUCAGGAAGAACACCCGUGGCGAAGGCGGCUCUCUGGGACGGUACUGACGCUGAGACGCGAAAGCGUGGGGAGCGAACAGG
rnacentral:rRNA from 1 species